rnacentral:piRNA from 1 species
UGCUGCCUCGCUCAGCGCCUUGG